CCUAGGAAGGAAGAAAAGAAGGGAGGGAGGGACUUAUGCAAUUGUUAUCAUCCCUUGACAUUGCUGACCUGAAAUCCACCAGUGCUCCUGGGACUUAUCAGAUCAUGGGUUUCAAAAGAGUGAGGAACAGCCAGGAGCUUUCCAGCAUGCUUUCAUAUCUCUGGGUACCUAAUAACCAAAUCAUGGUUUCUCUGCACCAUGCCUGGCAGACUUGAGGCUGCCUGCCCAGCUGACAAAACCCUGUUUCUCUGGGAACCAAGCACACUCCAGUGGGCACCUUGUGUGAUGGUAUCCUCCAUGCCCACCCCACCAGUUCCCACCAGCCACAGCUAAAAGCAUGGCUGGGAUCAGGCCCCCUCCACAGACAAGUCAUACUCUCUGGCGUGGGAGUCUUGAGUUGGGUCUGCAGGACUGUUAGGUCUCUUUGUGUGAUCAACCCUCUAUCAUAGGCAACCAUACUUCACCCUGUGGCCAGAAGAACAAAAAAAACUUUGCUACAGAAAUAGAAUUAAACAGAACUGCAAAAAGGCACAUAGGUGGAGAUGAUGGCCAGAGUUCCCUUCCUAUAGGAAUAAGCCUUGUGAUUCCUUAUGAUAAACACUGAUUUUUGCUUAAGGCAGCUCAGGCUGGUUUCUGUGACUUACAUCUUCUGUUUGUCCUAAUAUUUCAAGGCCUGCUGGGUGGACCCCAAGGCCUUUGAUCUGGUAAGUGAGGCAAACAUGCGGGACAGAAUUCAGUAGGAGCCACAGAGCAAAAUGCCUCAUCAAAGUCUUGCUACUUCCAAAAAAAAUCAAAGAUGAUAAACCCUUUGCAGAAGACCCUGACUGACUGUUUGGAUGAGUACUGCACUUGGUUCUGGGAGGAGUCUUGAUAAAGAUGUCUAGGAGCCAUGAUCACAUGCUCUAAAUGUGUGCACCACAGGUCCCUUUCUGCAGUGUCCUGCUCCAGCCACAUGUGGAAGCAUUGUCAGGUCUGUGUUCAUUUUGUUCCAUGUCAGGCAUGAAUGCUAGAUGCUCUGCAAGCAUCCUCCUGCAUCCUUCCUCAUCUUCCUGCAUCCUCUCCCAACCCUGCAAGAUGGCAUUGUCUCCACCCAACAGAUGCUCCAAAAGCUACCACUGAAGCCUUGACAGUAGGAAGCUGUCUCCACAAUGCCUUGAGGCCUCUCUGGCAGGUCUAAAUGUCUCAGACCAGCUUUCACCAACAGCAGGAAAAGCAAGCUCCCUCACAGCGAGUACCUCUGCUUCUUGUUGCCACUUCAUAUCAUUGUGGAGAGAUUAUAAUGUCCAUGGCUUGGACUAAUCUCUUCCCAGCGCCUAGCUCAGUGGACAGUUUCCACUUACAGGCUGAGCUGUGUGAGCUCAGUGUCAACUUCAGGGUCCAUCAGAAUCGCCCGGAGGACUGGUUAAGACGCAGAAUGCUGGCCCCAGCCCCAGGGUCUCUGAUUCUGUAGGUCUAGCGUGGGGUUUAAAACUUUGUAUUUCUAAUAAAUUCUUGGGUAUGAAAGCCUGAAUAAUGGCCCCCAAAGAUAUAUAGGUCCUAAUCCCUGGGAUCUGUAAACAUUACCUUGUAGGGGAAAAGGGACUUUGCAGAUGUGAUUCAGUAAAGGUACUUGAGGUAAGGAGAUUAUCCUGGAUUAUCUGCUAAACCCGAAGUAUAAUCUCAGGGGUCUUUAUGAGAGAGAGGCAGAGGAAGAUUAGAUGACAGAAGAGGAGAAGGCAACGUGACAGGAAGGAGCAGAGAUUGCAGUCGUGUGGUCACAAGCAGGGGGAUACAGGCCACCACCAGAAGCUGGAAGGGGCAACGAAUGGCGGAUUCUCUGCUGCUGCAACUUGCAGAAGGAACAAACCCUGCUGCCAUCUUGAUUUUAGCCCUGUGAGACUCGGCUCAGACUUCAGCCCUCCAGAACUGUAACAGAAUAAAUUGUUGGGUUUUUUUUUGUUUUGUUUUAUUUUGUUUUGUUUUGUUUGAGACAGGGUCUUGCUAUGUCACCCAGGCUGGAGUGCAGUAGUGCAGUCUCGGUUCACGAAUUCCCCGGCUCAAGCGAUCCUCCCACCUCAGCUCCCCUGAGGAGCUGGGACUACAGGAGUGCACCACCAUGCCCAGCCUAAAUUGGUGUUUUAAGCCACUAAAUUUGUGGUAAUUUCUAACAACAGCCACAGGAAAGACAAACAGCUUGUGAUGCUUAUAUUGUUGUUUGGGGGUCCACACUUUGCAAACUACUGCAAGACAUCUGUAUUAGUCUGUUCCCACACUGCUAAUAAAGACAUACCCAGGACUGGGUAAUUUAUAAAGAAAAAGAGGUUUAAUGGACUCAACAGUUCCACAAGGCUGGGGAGGCCUGACAAUCAUGGCAGAAGGUCAAGGAGGAGCAAAGGCAUGUCUUACAUAGUGGCAGGCAAGAGUGCAUGUGCAGGUGAACUGCCCCUUAUAAAACCAUCAGAUCUCAUGAGACUUAUUCACUAUCAUGAGAACGGCACGGGAAAACAUGCCUCCAUGAUUCAAUUACCUCCUACCAGGUCCCUCCCAUGACACCUGGGGAUUACAGGAGCUACAAUUCAAGAUGAGAUUUGGGUGGGGACACAGCCCAACCAUAUCAACAUCUAUCCCUGGCCAUAUCUAAUGCCACCUGGAGGAUCAGGGUCUGUGUGAAUGGUCCCCUGGAAACUCUGAUGAUGAUUCAGAACAGUGCAAUACUAGGUGAGUACACAGCACACCCACCACCCCCUUCACUUUAACUCAUACAGUGGGAAAGCACACAGCAGAGGGACUACAGAGCUGAAUUCCAACCCUGCCUCUACUGAUUACUGGUCCUGCAGCUAAGCCAGUUCCUCAGCCUCUCCGGACCUCAGCAUCUGCAUCUGAAAUUCAGACCAUCUAUUCCAAACUUAACUAGAGGACUUCCAGUUCCUCAGAAGCUGCUGACGUUUCUGCCUCCACCUAUGCCACCUGCUCCGCCUUGAAAGCGCUUCCGGCUCUCCACCUUCUCCACCUUCAGCACAGCCAUGAUGUGUGAACUUCUCCAGAGCAGAAUCCUCCACCUUCCUGCCUGGGGGCAGAAUAAGCCUGGCUAUCCCUCUUCUGGAACUGAGUAGGGGAAGCAACCUUUGAGGCUGCACCAUCCAGAGUGUAGACUUUCACUUAAGACUAAGAGCAGGGACUCCCACAUUCAAAACCUAGUUCCACCAAUUCCUCAUUUUAAGAUCUCCAGCAAUUUACUCCAGUUUCCUCAUCUAUAAAAAGGAGAUCGUAAUAGUGUCUGCCUACCACAUAUGGAUUUUAUGUGGAUUAAAUGAGAUAAUCCACAUAAUAAAUGAUGGCCAGCGUAGAGCAGGCGUUCGAUAAAUGUAAACUGUCACCAGAAGUUGCAUAAUCUGAGUGCUCCCCUUCAGAGACAUCGUCCUGGGAGGAUGUCGUCUUCUCCAUCAAAGCCUUCACUCCUUGCACUGCCAAAGCCCCUCUGUGAUGCUGUGGCUUCCAGAAUCAGUGGAUGAGCCCCACUAGAAAAAUCUACUCAUCACUCAUGAUUACCCCUUGUGCAUCCCAGCAUGAGUGUGACCUAGUGCUUGAACAUCCUUAUUCACCAGAUUUGACUCAAGUUUGAUUCCGAAAUCAAACGUGCACCCAGUGAAGUGCUCCUUCUGAGAAUAAUCAAAACCAACAUUGUGACAGAGGCUGCUGGCUAGGCUGUGAUAUUUCCUCUUUCUUCUGUAGUAACAGAACCACAGCGUUUAGCUGGGCACCUGGUAUUGAGAAUAAAAAUCUUAUUCGCAGCCUUCCUUGCAGCCAGAAAUGGCCAUGAGAUGAAGUUCUAGCCAAUGGGAUCUGAGUGCAAACUGUGUUUUCCAAGGGAUUCCCUUACAGAGAGAGGCCAAGCUUUCUCUUCCCCCUUCUCCCUUCACCCUAACUGGCAUGUGACAUGGCAGACAUGGGAUGUAGAAUAUGGAAACCUCUUCUCUCCAUGUUAACGCACUCAACAUUCUAGAAAAAGCAGAGCAGAAGGAAGGAAACAGCAUUUCUGAUGCCAUGUGUCAUUACAGCAGCCCUGGACUGCUUCCACCCAGGCUAUGUGUUUAAACCAUGACUAUCUGGGGUCUCUUAUGACAACCAAACCUAUGUUUCAACUAUUAAUAAUUCAUAUAUGUAACCGCUUCUAAAAGCAUCUGCAAAAGAAAAGCUUAAACUAUGUUUUAAGCAAGGAUAACACUGUAUGGAUUUUCCCAAAGUGACUUAUUAAAGAACACUCAUUGAGCUGGAGUAUUUGUGUGCUGUUUGUUUAAUUAGUCACACAGUUAAUCGUUACAUCUCCUGAAAUAGGAAGAAAAAGCAACCCAAUGGUCUAAAUCCACCAAUAUCACCUAGACACAUUCAGUGACAUUUAGAAUAUUUUAUUCUAACAAACUUUUUGAACACCACAGUUGGAAGAAUAGAGAUCAUUCCAACAGGUCAAGCACUGGCCCAGCUGCUGGGAGAUCGGAUCUGCUGAUCCAGCCCUGCCGAGGGCAGCAAGACCUGCUGGGCCUCGCUUUCUGCAUCUGUAGAUACUAAGGCUGAGGGACUUGGAUGGGGCCAGGGACCAAAACCCUACAAACCAAAGAAAGAAAUGGUCCAAAAGUAGCAACUCAAAGGAGAAAGAAAACUACUAAGAACACAAAAUGAAAAACCGAAACUCAAAAGAGUUGUCCAUCAGACUGCUUUAUAACCAUGUGUCCCCAGUUGGCACACAAACCUGUCCUGGAACAAGCCCACAGUUCUCAUCAGCGCUCAUCAGUGGCCACAUAUCCCUCUCUCCAAGGUCACUAGACCCGGUGUUGAGGGGCUGGAAGGGGAAGGACGGCAGUGGCAAUGGGGUCAACAGAGUCCCAUCUCUUGGCUUAUUGAUGGGCAUUAACAUUCUUCCAAACACUCAGACCUCAAAUUCAAGUUCCUGAACCCAGAGAGCCAGUCCUCACUUUUAGGGGUCUUUACUGCCAUUUCUUUUCCUCUUCCACUAGGCUUAGAGAACACAGAGAUUGUAAAAAAAUGGGUUUUCUGCAGGAGGCAGAGGUUGCAGUGAGCUGAGACCGUGCCAUUGCACUCCAGGCUGGGUGACAAGAGGGAAACUCCGUCUCAAAAAAAAAAAAAAGAAAAGAAAAGAAAAAUGGGUUUUCUGGUGCCCUUUCUCCUCUCCACCCCAUAACAUGGGUGAAUACAUAGUAAGCACAUAGUUAACUGAAUAUAUCUUAAAUAAAUGUCUGAUCCUCUAAGAACCGAGUCACACACACACAAAAAAAAUCUACGAAGGGGACUAAGCAUACAUGUAUAUAUAUAUUUGCAGGCAAGAUGGGCCUGUGUUCACACUUGGAAGGCCAAACCUUGCCCAGUGCGGUCAUUUCUCCACUUCAGUUGCUGAACAACUACAGCAUUUCCUAAAGGAGCUCUCACACCGAGAGACUCACUGGCUCACAGCCUCCAGCAUGAGCUACAUGAAAGAGACCACCGCCAAGGAGUGACUCAAACAAGAAGCCAGGGCGCCCCGUGGCCACAUCCUCACUGCAGAGGCAUCUGUGAGAGCAGAGCCUGGGGCUGCUCCCCCUCACUUCCAAAGAACAGGAGGGGCCAUGGGGACUCAAUGAAAAGUCCUUUGAUCACGACCAGGAUAUGCUGGCACUAUAAGGACCAAAGUCCCUCACCACAGCAAAUACGAACCCUCUUGAUACCCACUCAUGUGUUCCUGAGCUUCUGUUUCCCCUGGAGAUUCCCUCCUACUUUGGGCACGAGGUCCCUUCCUCGGUCACAAGGUACCGAGUCUCUCCAGUCCUAGUUCUAUCCUUCAUCACACAGAAAAGAAGAAUCAACAGUCAAGAGCCCAGCUACCUCUACAUCCUUUACUUUUUGCUUUCAAUUCUGAUCAUCUCCAGAUGGAAGACACAAAUCAGAUCCCUAGUACAGAUUCUCUAACACCCUCAUUCCAAAGCUCAUCAGUUAUAACAAGUUAAUUCCAACCAAGUUCCCCAUCCUGGGGCGCAGCAGAUUGUUUUUCUGAAGAUGGCUAUGCCAAUGUGGUUCCCAUUCCAUGUGCAUCUCUCUCAGUGUGACCCUGACAUUCCGUCACUGACAGUGGGUCUGGUUUCCCUUCCCUUGAACCUGGGCAGACCUCUGCAACUUCUUUGACCAAGAGAGAAUGUGGCAAAAGUGAUGCAGCACACCUCCUGAGGCUGGGUCACACAAGGCAAAUCGGCUUCCACCUGGUUGGCUCUUGGGACAUGUGCCUUUAGAGCCCAGAGCCAUCACUGAAGACGUCUGGCAACUGCAAGGCCACCAUGCUAGAGGGAUGAGGUGGAAAGACUACGAGAAGAGAGAUGGACAAACAGCCCCAUCUGUUCCAGCCCCCGGUUGUUCAAGGGUUCCCUGACCAGGCACCAUGUGAGGAAGAAGCCUGUGAGAUGACCCUAGCCCCAGCAACCCUCCAACUGUAACCCCAUGAGGGACCCUGGGCCAGAACCACCCAGAUGAGGGGCUCCCAAACUCCUGCCCCACCGAAACCAUAAGCAAUAAAGAGCGAUUACUGCUGUUUUAGGCCACUGUGUUUUGGGAUGAUUUUCUGUGCAGCCACAGUGACUGAAACAUGGGAACUUUAGUAGACGUGGCUCCUUCUCUCAAAAUAGCAAUUUACCUCCUCCAGGGUAGGUUUAGAACAUCUUGUCAGUGUUUAAUUUCACAACUCUACUUCCUAGUAGAGUAAAUGGCACCUUUAAAAAAAAAAGUAAGAGUUUAAUUUUUUACUUCAAGCUCUUAAGAAUUUCACAAUACCUCUUUCAAGGUCACUCUGGAGACCUCGCAGCAUCUCACACAGGAGUUGGGCAGUCGCCAUGGCUAGAAGUGCAUGGCCUCCUGUGCUUCCAAAGGGCAGACCCCACGUGGGGGAACACUGGCAGGGCUGGGCAAGAUUUGGGCUUCUCCCCUCCCUCUCCAGCAAUCUUGCCCUGAUACUACCCUUCCUCUACCACAACAGCCACGCCUACAGAGCAGGCUUCUGAAAAACCACAAUCAGGCACACUUGUCAAUACAUAAAAGCAAAACAGCACUGGUGACGUUCAUCAAAUUCACUGAGAGCUGCUGGAAUACCAUGGCUGUGGGCAACAGCAGCAAAUGACACAGAAAGGUGCAUUAAUGAGCUCAGGCAAGAGGAAAGAAGGCAUGUCAUGGGACCCCAGAGCUUCGAUUUCAGAAAACCAAAGACUUGGCCUUUUAACUGAGUUUGGCUGGAAUCUGAGAUCACCUGCUCCCCAUUUGUAACUGGAAACCUUUCCAUAAAGAGCCAAUUACUUGACAUUAAAGUCCCCGAUUUUAAAGGACUUUGAAACCAACACCACAUAAGUGCUUGCAUAAACAAAAUGUCAGCUUGUGAUAUUCUGGCUCAUGUCUUUUCUUUCAAGCACUGCCCCGUUCUUCCUAUCAGCU
rnacentral:lncRNA from 10 species